UCCGGUUUGGCACCGGCAGUCUCCCAUGAGUCCCCGGCAUGACCCGCUGGCAACAUGGGACAGGGGUUGCGCUCGUUGCGCCACUUAAGGCAACACCUCACGGCACGAGCUGACGACGGCCAUGCAGCACCUGUGCGGGCUCCCGAAGGAGGACCGUGUUUCCACGGCUUCACCCCGCAUGUCAAGCCCUGGUAAGGUUCUUCGCGUCGCGUCGAAUUGAGCCACAUGCUCCGCCGCUUGUGCGGGCCCCCGUCAAUUCCUUUGAGUUUUAGCCUUGCGGCCGUACUCCCCAGGCGGGGCGCUUAAUGCGUUAGCUGCGGCACGGAGCGGGUCGAACGCCGCCCCACACCUAGCGCCCAUCGUUUACGGCGUGGACUAC
rnacentral:misc_RNA from 1 species